UCGGGAUAGCUCAGCUGGUAGAGCAGAGGACUGAAAAUCCUCGUGUCCCCAGUUCAAAUA
rnacentral:tRNA from 1 species